GACGAGGGUGCGACGGAAGUCCGGUGGGAAUCCGGCACGGUCGCGCCACUGUGAACCCGCCCGCGCGGGGAAGUCAGACCCGGCACCUUCGUC
rnacentral:ncRNA from 2 species